GACGAACGCUGGCGGCGUGCUUAACACAUGCAAGUCGAACGGAAAGGCCCUGCUUUUGUGGGGUGCUCGAGUGGCGAACGGGUGAGUAACACGUGAGUAACCUGCCCUUGACUUUGGGAUAACUUCAGGAAACUGGGGCUAAUACCGGAUAGGAGCUCCUGCUGCAUGGUGGGGGUUGGAAAGUUUCGGCGGUGGGGGAUGGACUCGCGGGUUAUCAGCUGGCUGGUGGGGUAGUGGCUUACCAGGGCUUUGACGGGUAGCCGGCCUGAGAGGGUGACCGGCCACAUUGGGACUGCGAUACGGCCCAGACUCCUACGGGAGGCAGCAGUGGGGAAUAUUGCACAAUGGGCGGAAGCCUGAUGCAGCAACGCCGCGUGCGGGAUGCCGGCCUUCGGGUUGUAAACCGCUUUCGACUGUGACGAAGCGUGAGUGACGGUAAUGGGUCAAGAAGCACCGGCUAACUACGUG
rnacentral:rRNA from 1 species